UGCGGUUAGACGUAAGAUUUGAUCCCUGGGCUCAGGUAACGGUGAAAGGGUAAAGUUUUAUCCUGGCUCAAGAACGGGGAAAAGCGUUAGAGUUUUUCCCUGCCCUUCGGGAGAGGAAUGGGAAAAUGUUUCUACUAGCGCAUAUGACCUCAAAUUGCAUGAUUUGUGGUGCAAAGAUUUAUCGGUGCAGGAUGGGCCCGCGGCCUAUCAGCUUGUUGGUGGGGUAAUGGCCUACCAAGGCGACGACGGUUAUCCGACCUGAAAGGGUGACCGGCCACACUGGGACUGAGACACGGCCCAGACUCCUACGGGAGGCAGCAGUGGGGAAUAUUGCACAAUGGGCGAAAGCCUGAUGCAGCGACACCGCGUGAGGGAUGACGGCCUUCGGGUUGUAAACCUCUUUCAGCAGGGACGAAGCGCACGUGACGGUACCUGCAUAAGAAGCACCGGCUAACUACGUGCCAGCAGCCGCGGUAAUACGUACGGUGCAAGCGUUGUCCGGAAUUACUGGGCGUAAAGAGUUCGUAGGCGGUUUGUCACGUCGUUUGUGAAAACCAGCAGCUCAACUGCUGGCUUGCAGGCGAUCAGGCAGACUUGAUACUGCAGGCGAGACUGGAAUUCCUGGUGUAUCGAUGAAUUGCGGAGAGACUGGAAUUCCUGGAGAGCGGUGA
rnacentral:rRNA from 1 species